rnacentral:rRNA from 1 species
UACGUAGGGUGCGAGCGUUGUCCGGAAUUAUUGGGCGUAAAGAGCUCGUAGGCGGUCUGUCGCGUCGGUCGUGAAAACUUGGGGCUCAACCCCAAGCCUGCGGUCGAUACGGGCAGGCUCGAGUUCGGUAGGGGAGACUGGAAUUCCUGGUGUAGCGGUGAAAUGCGCAGAUAUCAGGAGGAACACCGAUGGCGAAGGCAGGUCUCUGGGCCGAUACUGACGCUGAGGAGCGAAAGCGUGGGGAGCGAACAGG